rnacentral:rRNA from 1 species
GGGGUAAGGGCCCACCAAGGCGACGAUCAGUAGCCGGACUGAGAGGUUGAACGGCCACAUUGGGACUGAGAUACGGCCCAGACUCCUACGGGAGACAGCAGUUAGGAAUAUUCGUCAAUGGGGGAAACCCUGAACGAGCAAUGCCGCGUGAAGGAAGAAGGUCCUCUGGAUUGUAAACUUCUGUUGUUAGGGAAAAACGACACGUAUAGGAAAUGAUACGUGAGUGAUGGUACCUUUCAAGAAAGCUCCGGCUAACUAC